AAAACAAGCCAUGGAAAUACCUCAUGCGCAAGUCCCUUAUUUAUCAUCCAUAUGAUUUGAUCUUGGACUCUUUUGGAAAACUCUCGUUAUAAGGAACAACUUUGAUGUUGUAACUUUUUCAAUUUGAAGCUUGUAAAAUGGAGAAAACUGGCCUUGAAGAUGGAGGUAUCAAACAUACUUUGAAAUUUUUCAAAGUUAUAAGCCAAAUGACCUCUCUUUCCACCUUGAAUAACUUUUGAAGUAAGCUUCAAAUGAACUUGGCUCCUUCUACAAGGUUG
rnacentral:lncRNA from 1 species